GCGCCUGUAGCUCAGUUGGAUAGAGCACUUGGCUUCUAAGCAGGUGGUCGCAGGUUCGAAUCCUGCCAGGCGCACCA
rnacentral:tRNA from 1 species